rnacentral:rRNA from 1 species
UACGUAGGGGGCGAGCGUUGUCCGGAGUUACUGGGCGUAAAGCGCACGCAGGCGGUCUGCUAAGUUUGGAGUGACAGUUGGUGGCUUAACUGCCAAAGUGCUUCGAAAACUGACAGACUUGAGGGCUUCAGAGGGACACGGAAUUCCGGGUGGAGUGGUGAAAUGCGUAGAGAUCCGGAGGAACACCAAAGGCGAAGGCAGUGUCCUGGGGAGUACCUGACGCUCAGGUGCGAAAGCCAGGGGAGCGAACGGGAUUAGAACUACCCUGGUA